AAAUGUCAUAACGGGUUCAUCACGGGCCGCCCCUUAAAAAUGUUUAUUAAACGGGCUCUACCCGUGAAUAAAAGGGUGCCCAUUAAUUUUUUUUUUCUUCAGAAUAUGUGAAACUACGUAGUUUUAUCUUAGGUUCACUUAUCUCAAAACUAAUCUUUGCCAUCUCUCUCGUCUCUCCUCUCUGUGUAGAUGAAUCUCAAAACAUGAAUCCAAAUUGAGAAACCUCUUUCGUUUUCUUGAAUCUGUGGUGGGUCUCUUCGUUUUCUUCAUUAAGAGAAACCUCUUUCUCUCUUUCAGUCUCUGGCGCCUUCUCUUUCUUUCUCAGUUUCUCUCAGGCGCUCUCUCUCCGGCGACCUCUUCUCUCUCCGGCGACCUUUCUCUCUCUCGCUCAGAUUCCGGAUCUAAGUAGCAACCGUACAGCAGCUUGAGUUCAUUGCAGAAGCUUGGUCUCAGGAUGGAUUUGGAGUCUCUUAAUACAAUAGCAAUCCUUGAUGCUCAAAGGGAAUACAUGGACAUGAAUGAAGAAGAUGCUUUGAAUAUGGAAAAUGCAAUGGGGGAGGGAGAAACAGAGAUGCAAAACUGUUUUGUUGUUUUUGAUGUUUUUAUUUCAAACACAAGCUUGAUGCAAAACUAUUUUUAUUGAGAUUGUGCACUAUCUAGUUCAUUUGAGAUUUGUUUAUUA